AUAUUCCGCGAUGUUCUUCCGUUGGUCGCCUGACGUCGACGGCAGCGGUGCGGCAGGUGUGUUUGUUCCGGUUACACUCGCGAGCUUCUUGAGGACUUUUUUGCGAAGCGAGACCGAUGACUUUGAAGUCACCGAUGACGCCUCGGUUGCCUUUUUGGCGUCUUUUGGUUGUUGUUUCAUACUUUGUUGUCGUUGACAACCACCCAUUGUAAAAUGAUCACAAGUGUGCAUUUCAAGCGAUCAGAUUAAAAUAGGUAGCUACAACUCGUAUUCACAAACUAUAGCCACAAUGUCGGGGCUAACAAACGCCACAAUGUCGGGUCGAACAAUUGCCACAAUGUUGGGGCAAACUACAGCCACAAUGUCGGGGCUAACAAACGCCACAAUGUCGGGGCGAACAAUUGCAACAAUGUCGAGGCAAACUACAGCCACAAUGUCGGGGCUUACAAACGCCACAAUGUCGGGGCGAACAAUUGCCACAAUGUCGGGGCAAACUACAGCCACAAUGUCGGGGCUUACAAACGCCACAAUGUCGGGGCGAACAAUUGCCACAAGGUCGGGGCAAACUACAGCUACAAUAUUAAUCCCUCUGCGAAGCGUCACACGCAGCUCACUCUUCUCUGCCCAGCACUGCAGCACAGGCCAAGCAAUUCACCGCUCAUCAGCGGGCUGUACGAUGCGACGCUCAGCUGAGUAUGUCACGCGCAGCAGUACUCAACGUAGCUCAGGCAGCCAGCACACAGUCUUCGCACCUCUGGCCACGCUAUGUUACACGUGAAGUUGGUCGCUAGUGGUCACAGCUGUAACAUUUAAAAAUAGGCAACAAACAUCUAAUCGUGCGUAGUCAUGUUUAGGCUAAGCUCCAAACCACAUCUCAUGUCGGUGGUAAUAGUAUGUAGCACUGUUUUAUAUUGUCCAGCAGUAUCGCUCAACUAAUUUUUUUUUAUUGGUCCAAUAUCAGAUAUUACGUGUUGCAAUGUGAUGCACAACAUAAAACUUAUUCUCAAAAUUCUGGACUCUAAAACAAGUGUCGAUGUUUACUACAAUUCGUAUGGGAGUAACCAUUCAGAGAACUCACAUUUUUAAAUAAAAGCAUCAGUUACAGUUUUGUUAGAUUAAGACAU
rnacentral:misc_RNA from 1 species